ACGGAAGGCAGCAGUGGGGAAUAUUGCACAAUGGGCGCAAGCCUGAUGCAGCGAUGCCGCGUGAGGGAAGAAGGUUUUCGGAUUGUAAACCUCUGUCAUCUGGGACGAUAAUGACUGUACCCGAGAAGGAAGCUCCGGCUAACUACGUGCCAGCAGCCGCGGUAAUACGUAGGGAGCGAGCGUUAUCCGGAAUUACUGGGUGUAAAGGGAGUGUAGGCGGGACUGUAAGUCAGAUGUGAAAUAUGCCGGCUCAACUGGGAGACUGCAUUGGAAACUGCAGUUCUUGAGUGAAGUAGAGGUAAGCGGAAUUCCUAGUGUAGCGGUGAAAUGCGUAGAUAUUAGGAGGAACACCAGUGGCGAAGGCGGCUUACUGGGAUAUAACUGACGCUGAGGCUCGAAAGCGUGGGGAGCAAACAGGAUUAGAUACCCUGGUA
rnacentral:rRNA from 1 species